rnacentral:rRNA from 1 species
UACGUAGGGUGCGAGCGUUAAUCGGAAUUACUGGGCGUAAAGCGUGCGCAGGCGGCCCCGCAAGUCAGACGUGAAAUCCCCGAGCUUAACUUGGGAAUGGCGUUUGAAACUACAGGGCUGGAGUGUGGCAGAGGGAGGUAGAAUUCCACGUGUAGCGGUGAAAUGCGUAGAUAUGUGGAGGAAUACCGAUGGCGAAGGCAGCCUCCUGGGCCAACACUGACGCUCAUGCACGAAAGCGUGGGGAGCAAACAGG